AGAGUUUGAUCCUGGCUCAGGAUGAACGCUAGCUACAGGCUUAACACAUGCAAGUCGAGGGGCAGCAUGGUCUUAGCUUGCUAAGGCCGAUGGCGACCGGCGCACGGGUGAGUAACACGUAUCCAACCUGCCGUCUACUCUUGGACAGCCUUCUGAAAGGAAGAUUAAUACAAGAUGGCAUCAUGAGUCCGCAUGUUCACAUGAUUAAAGGUAUUCCGGUAGACGAUGGGGAUGCGUUCCAUUAGAUAGUAGGCGGGGUAACGGCCCACCUAGUCUUCGAUGGAUAGGGGUUCUGAGAGGAAGGUCCCCCACAUUGGAACUGAGACACGGUCCAAACUCCUACGGGAGGCAGCAGUGAGGAAUAUUGGUCAAUGGACGAGAGUCUGAACCAGCCAAGUAGCGUGAAGGAUGACUGCCCUAUGGGUUGUAAACUUCUUUUAUACGGGAAUAAAGUGAGGCACGUGUGCCCUUUUGUAUGUACCGUAUGAAUAAGGAUCGGCUAACUCCGUGCCAGCAGCCGCGGUAAUACGGAGGAUCCGAGCGUUAUCCGGAUUUAUUGGGUUUAAAGGGAGCGUAGAUGGAUGUUUAAGUCAGUUGUGAAAGUUUGCGGCUCAACCGUAAAAUUGCAGUUGAUACUGGAUAUCUUGAGUGCAGUUGAGGCAGGCGGAAUUCGUGGUGUAGCGGUGAAAUGCUUAGAUAUCACGAAGAACUCCGAUUGCGAAGGCAGCUUACUGGACUGUAACUGACGCUGAUGCUCGAAAGUGUGGGUAUCAAACAGGAUUAGAUACCCUGGUAGUCCACACAGUAAACGAUGAAUACUCGCUGUUUGCGAUAUACAGUAAGCGGCCAAGCGAAAGCGUUAAGUAUUCCACCUGGGGAGUACGCCGGCAACGGUGAAACU
rnacentral:rRNA from 1 species